rnacentral:rRNA from 1 species
ACGAACGCUGGCGGCGUGCCUAAUACAUGCAAGUAGAACGCUGAAGGAGGAGCUUGCUUCUCCGGAUGAGUUGCGAACGGGUGAGUAACGCGUAGGUAACCUGCCUGGUAGCGGGGGAUAACUAUUGGAAACGAUAGCUAAUACCGCAUAACAGUAGAUAUUGCAUGAUAUCUGCUUGAAAGGUGCAAUUGCAUCACUACCAGAUGGACCUGCGUUGUAUUAGCUAGUUGGUGGGGUAACGGCUCACCAAGGCGACGAUACAUAGCCGACCUGAGAGGGUGAUCGGCCACACUGGGACUGAGACACGGCCCAGACUCCUACGGGAGGCAGCAGUAGGGAAUCUUCGGCAAUGGACGGAAGUCUGACCGAGCAACGCCGCGUGAGUGAAGAAGGUUUUCGGAUCGUAAAGCUCUGUUGUAAGAGAAGAACGAGUGUGAGAGUGGAAAGUUCACACUGUGACGGUAUCUUACCAGAAAGGGACGGCUAACUACGUG